UACAGAGGGUGCGAACGUUGUUCGGAUUUACUGGGCGUAAAGCGCGUGUAGGCGGUCUCGCAAGUCGGAUGUGAAAGCCCAGGGCUCAACCCUGGAAGUGCACUCGAUACUGCGAGGCUAGAGUCCCGGAGAGGAUGGUGGAACUCUCGGUGUAGAGGUGAAAUUCGUAGAUAUCGAGAAGAACACCGGUGGCGAAGGCGGCCAUCUGGACGGUGACUCGACGGCUGAGACGCGAAAGCGUGGGGAGCAAACAGG
rnacentral:rRNA from 1 species